UGCUUUUUCUUUCUCCCCGACGCCAUUUCCUCGCGCCUGAGCCGAAGUUGAUUGUCUUCUUCUUCCCCCAUCUUCUGCCCUAAUCGCUCGGCGACGGUUGCUUCUCCCUCCGGUACAAAAGCCAUGGCCAAGGAAGCCCCAAGCCACCUCCCGAUCCUUCCUCUUCCUCUACUUCUUUCCCCCUUCUGAUUUGUGCGCCGACACCGACCACCGUGCCCUAGAUCGGCUUCUGCACAGCACUGUCGACAUCACCGCUGAGCCCAAGCUUCUGUACCCGACGUCGGUAGAGGACUUGCCGCACUGACCUUUGCCAGAGAAGGCCGGGACUUUCCUCUGCCCCAGUGUUGACGCCGACGCCGACCUCCCCUCUGCCCUAAUCUUACCGGCCGGUCUCACCAGGAGUCGGUUGAUGCGUCGGCUGCCCACAGACCUCGCUGAGCAGAACCCUAGCCGACGAUCCAACAUCGGUGAUCUGCCCUUGCCAAGCCUAGUUGAUCUGGCCGCAAUCACCACCAGUUGUCAAUUGACCCUCUUCCAUCUACUUCCCAUGCCUUAGUUUCUUGGUGCUGAGUCUUUCUUCCUGCGUCACAGCAACAUCCGGAAUGCAUCAGAGAGGAAGCUCGAGUUUGAAUUCGGCUCUGGCGAGGAGAUUAGCCAUUCGUGGAUAGCCGCUGCCACCAGAUCCUUUGCUCCGACUGUGGAUCAUCGGCUAAGGUUUCAGAGUUGGGACUUUGAUUCGAGACGAGUAUCUCGACGUUGGAUUUGACUGGAUUGGACCUGCUAUUUA